UUAAGUUCGGCGGGUAGUCCUACCUGAUUUGAGGUCAGAUGACAUGAAAGGGGUCUUUCCUUUGUCCAAAGACGGCUGUAAGCGACCCGGGUCGGCAACGAACGGCGCACUAAGCGUUUGUUAUCACACCGUCGUCGGCACCGACCGUGAGGGACCGGCUAAUGCGUUUAAAGACGAGCGGGCCUUUCCGACCCGCAGGC
rnacentral:misc_RNA from 1 species